AGUUUAGAGAUGGGAUGGAAGUUGGAGAUGGUACCGGGGUCAAGAGUGGGUUUCUUUAAAAGAGGGGUCACUACUGCUUUUUUAAAAUACAAUGGGACAUACCUUUUGAUCGGGGAGCUGUUAAUUAUUUACAAGAUUGGAAUUAAUUGGAUGGAAG